UAUUUUUUUUUUUUUUUCAAAUAACUGAAAUACUUAUUAGUAAAUCCUGUCUUUUACAGGAAUACUUACAGUGCCAUGUCCUCAUAGGUAUGGUCAUUCCACAUUUCAGAAGUUCUAUAGCAACAGCAUGAAUGUAUCUUAACAUCACAGGACUUGCCCCCGAAAGAGUGGUUGAUUCUCAACAGGGUUUUCUACUCUUGCUUCUUAAGUUCAGCAGAGUAAGGAAAGAAUGGGAAGCACACUGUGCAGCUGAAAUCAGAAGAUGUGGAAGGAAGGAGAGGAAAAUCGAAGGAAGCACACUUCAGAGACAUAUGGGGUUGAAUCCAAGCAUUCCUUUACUAUUACAAGCAUUUGUUGCAAUUGGAAUGCUGUCUUUGGACUCUGCAUGCUAAUCCAGGAUUAUACAAGCAGAAGAGGAGUUCCAGGAGUGGCUUUUAUUAUUAGCUGGCUAUUGCUCAGGUAAUUCAAGAACAACUGGGUAGAAACACAAUCAUAGAUAUCAAAG
rnacentral:lncRNA from 1 species